UACGUAGGGUGCAAGCGUUAAUCGGAAUUACUGGGCGUAAAGGGUGCGUAGGCGGUUCGUUAAGUCUGUCGUGAAAUCCCCGGGCUCAACCUGGGAAUGGCGAUGGAUACUGGCGAGCUAGAGUGUGUCAGAGGAUGGUGGAAUUCCCGGUGUAGCGGUGAAAUGCGUAGAGAUCGGGAGGAACAUCAGUGGCGAAGGCGGCCAUCUGGGACAACACUGACGCUGAAGCACGAAAGCGUGGGGAGCGAACAGG
rnacentral:rRNA from 1 species